UGGGAAACGUGGCGUCCCGUUCCGCCCGACCGCCCGACCUGGGUCGCGUUCAUCCGUCCCCCUCCUCCACUCCCUUUCGGAUCCAGGGGCCGGUGGAGAGCCGCGGCAGCGCAUCCGUCCCCCUCCCCCGCUCCCUUCCGGAUCCAGGGGCCACGGCGGUGGAGAGCCGCGGCCGCGCCAGCUCCCACAGCGGUGGCCAGCUAGGUCCGCAGGCCCUCACUCGGUGACUGUCAUCCUUCCCCCUCCCCCACUCCCUUCCGGAUCCAGGCGCCACGGCGGUGGAGAGCCGCGGCGGCGCCAGCUCCCACAGCGGUAGCCAGCUUGGUCCGCGGCCGCUGGGCGAUCCAGGCGUCCACGGCGGUGCAAAGUCGCGGCUGCGCCAUGUCUCAGUGCGGUGGCCAGCUAGGUCCGCGGCGGGGGAACCAGCUCGGUCCCUGGCUGGGCGAGCCGCGGCGGCGCCAGCUCUCAGUGCGGCGGCGCUCUCAGUCCCCUCGCCGUCCCGCAGGCGCGCCCCCCGUUCCCUUCGUCCCAGCUCGAGGAGGAGGAGGCCCGUUCCCUCGUCGACAGCGACCUCUACGACCUCACAUCCGCGCCGCUGCAGCUCCUCGCGGGGGAGGCCCGGUCGGAGGUGGCCAUCACCGGCGGCGACUCCCUCUCGGGCCACCUCGAUCUCUGGUGCCUGGACGUCUCCGCUGCGCUCGACCAGGUCAACGACUCCUCACAUUACCAUUAGGGUGCAUUUCACCAGGUUAGGUAUGUUUGAGUGAAGUUUCUGGCGAAGAUGGUGUCCUGAUGUGAUCCAGCUGUAGGAUCCCUUUGUGUUACUGCUAAAGCUCUGUAAUAAUGGUCAGGUCGAAGUUUUAUAAAAACCUGGAGGUCCUAGGAGAAAGUCUCUUAGUCUUUGGUACUUAGUACUUAAAGAGUCCUCUUGUAUUUCAAUGUCAAGAGGUACCAAUCUCUCUCCCAUACAAUUUAGUGCUUCUUAUUAUUUCCCUGUGCUAAAAUUGUACAUAUAUGAGAUUAUUAUCCAUACUUGAUCAAGGCAAAUCAGCCUGCACAUUUGUAAUUUGCUAAGAUAAGGCAAAUAAAUUAUCUUAUUGCUUUUGUUUUCUUUAUUCCAUGAACCUCAACUGUUGGAUGAAUAGACUAGCUCAUCAUGGCACUGUUGUUAUGGCCAUACUAAUUUCAUUACACGGUUCUGUAGUGAUGAAGUGCAGGAUCAGGAAUAUAUAAUAUCCUUGACCUGUUCUAUGCCUGGCUGCCUGCCAUACAUAGCUGCUAAUUUUGAAUGCGUGUGCAGUAGACGUUUUUAGGAAAUGAAUACGAGGCAUAGAAAACCAAACAUUCAGACUAAUCACUAAUGAAAUAACUGAAAGUGUGCACCCCUGCUGCACUAAUUGUCUUGUGUCUAGGAGUCCUCAAGUAUUCACACAAAUCCAAGACAUAUGUCGAUCAGAUUGUAGGAACCAGCAUAGAUUAGAUAAAGUUGUUACAAACUAAAGCAAUGAAAGGAGGAGCUCAGUGGUAUGAAGUCACAAAGUUUAGAACAAGGUGUAACCAACUAAGCAACUAUUUGGACAGCACCUAACUACUGAUGAUAGGAGAUCAUAUUUUUGUGUAUGGGCUCACUUGAAGAGGUCCAGGAUUCGCGUUCAUACGGUUUUCGGUCUGCACACGUUGAGCGAUAGUUGUACUGCUAGAUUGUUCCUUUGUAGAGGCAUUAGCUUCAAGCUUUUUCUUUUUUUUCUCCUUGUUCUCUGUUAGAAUCAUCAGGCUGUAGAAUUUUCUUCGGCCGUCCUCGUCCCUGUUUCUGCUUGGGUGAUGUAGACCGGUUGGAUGUGUUGGGGUCCUCUGGUUGGCUGAUCUUGAUAACAUCAUCAUCUGCAUCAUUGGUCUGGUUCGCUCGCUUUUCCUCUUGCUUGGCUUUGUAUUCAUCCUCCUAAACAAUAAUGUGGGGAAGGCAUACUGAUUAUGCUCUCAUUGUAAAGCUAUAAGGUGGGGAAAUCAUUUUAGGAAGGGUGAUUUGUAGCACAAACCUUGAUGGCAUGCCUAUAGGAUUCUUUUCUGAGGUGGUUGCACUCAGAUCGGACAAGCCUAGAACAUAUUUUCCAGCUGAAAACUUGUAUUUUAGACUGCACCAGCGAGCAAUGCGUGUGAGUAUAUCUUGAUAAAAUUAGACUAGAUCACAAAUGAACUAAAGGUGUUGUACCUGUGUGAAAUUCUGUCAUUUUUUCACCGUCCCAAGCGAGCAUGUAUUUCAGCACGUAGGCGCCACAAGAAUGGCUGGAAAAUCUAAGAGUUAGAAGAUGUAACUGAGUGGUGUUAAUUAAUUCAGAAUGCAGUAUGCACCCGUCGCUUUGUAUUGGUAUGUUUGUGUAGCUCUGUUUGUCCCAUUAGCAAAUGUUGCAUGAUACAUUGGCUGAAAUCUCACCACCCUGAACUGCAACUUGGAUGCAAUCUUGUAUGGACUCCACCUUGUUAAAUUAUAGAUCAUUACAAUCAUAUAACAUAUUGAGUAUUUAUAUUUAACAUGUACAUGUUACAUACCAGCAAAUUUUCCUUGAUCUCAUCUCGAAAAACAGGACUGGUUAUAGAGUUUAGAAUUUGAAUUUCUUUUUUUAUGAAUUUCAAAAUUAAUAGAUGCCAAUGGUCAUUGCGAACAUGCAUUGGGAUAAAAACCUGGUACAUAUAUGUAUUUAAAAUGAGUUGAGUAUGCCAUGUAGUAAUAAUUGAUCAUAUGUGCAUGUGAUGUACCAUGUUUUUUCCUACGCACUUCUUAGCAAUUUUUUCAGCCCAUUUUCUUUGCAGACCAUGGCAUCUAGUGUCCCCCGUUAGCUUUCUGCUGUCAUAUGUAGUUAAGACUGACGUUGUAUCAGUCUCUACAUUGCUAAGAAACGCGUACGCAUCAAUAACCUGGAAAAGUUAGGAACCGAUAAGAGGAUGAAUGGCAUGUAACUAGUUAGUGGACAAUUAAAUGGUAUGGGCGUACCUGACCAUAGAAGUAUCCAUUGGUAACAUUCGGUCUUAACAGCUUGACAGUCAGUAGAUAGCUACCAAUGUCAGCCACUUCAACCUCAUCAUAACUGUUUGUAAUGAAGCUUACUACUUCUUUGUCCUCUUCUGUCAAGUUGUAGUCAUCAUGAAAAACAGGUGUACGCGGUGCAAUGUAUUGUUGGGGGCAAAUAUUAAUCCCAGUCGCAUUAUCGCUAAGGUUUACAGGAGGUGUUGCGGUAUGUGUUGUCGUGUUUAGUGAAGGCUCGGCUUCUUUAGCGUCACCUAUUGAGUUUCGAAUAUUCAGCGGGACCUAUCACAGAUUAUGCACACAAGUAAGAGCACUAGUUAGUGAAGAAAUUCACUUUGUCUUGACAAUUUCAGGGUAUCAGAGAACAAAAACCUCAAUCACCACCAGAACCAACACUACCAGACUGCGAAACCUAUGAACCACGGGUAUGUGAAUGGGGGUGGGGCAAGCCAAUCAGCACUAUUUCAAAUGUUGUCAUAUUUUAAUUUUGCUUAAUGUGAUCAGUUUGAAUAUUACAUGAAGUUGUAAUGGAAUUUACGGUUCAUACUAGAGAGAGACUGCCGGGAUGCAUUGCAUUUGUCAAACCCGCCCAAGUGGAGUGGUGGCGUAUGGUCGAGGCACUAGCAGAUUUUGGGUACACAGGGAAGAGUGAAUUAUAUUAUCUGCAGCCUGGGUGCGUACCUCCAUGAGGGUUGGUAUUAAUGUUAGGAACUGAUGAAGUUGAGCAAGUGAUCCAAGUCCGUACAACUGUUCAUACAAAUGAACGGCACAUCAUCUAGUUGCAGCGAUGCUAGUGACCCAGGUUGUUCUACGGGUCAAGCGAAUGGCGAAGGUCAAACUGAAUCUGAAAACGAUGACACUUGGAUGGAAAAAAGUUUUUAUGAAGUGUGCAGUAGCAAAAGAAUGAAGAUGGAACCUCGCGAAGGAAAGUAGCCAAGCGACGGCAUGGAUGAAGUUUAAAUACUAAAAAUAGCUUUGGUUUUUAAUAUCAAAUAGGAUUGGGAAACAUCUGUACUUAAAUUGGAUUAAGACCACUUUUUAUUUUUCAAGGAUGCUUCUACACUUUCGAUGUUAGGCACAUUUGAUAAUAUUCUUAAAUCUGUCAGUCCGGCUCUUUGCAAACUACUACUUGUACUAGUAUUGUCUGUGUUCUACUUCUGUAUGGUGUGUUUUGAAUUUUUCUUC